rnacentral:lncRNA from 1 species
AGGCUAAAACCGCUAGCCUCACAAGUUCACAAUACUUGUGAGGGCAGCAGCCCACCACUUCGGCCAAGGCCGAAGUGGCGACUGCUCGUUGUUCAAACUUUAAAACAUUGUGCUCUUAUUAAUUGUUAUGGUGGUGUUCCCAAGCAUAUGGUUUUGGGUCCACGCGCUUAUAAAAUUUUCAUGGGGUCCGCAGUCUUCACUCAUUUAGAGGACCAUUAGACACUAUUCAAUAUUCAUCGUCUCUCCCGUCUCUCUGUCCUCCAAUGUACAUCCAUAAUGUAUUUUGACCAAGUGCUCACACUGUAUUGAUAAUAUUUGAUUAUAUAUACGUACUUACAUAUGUCCUUUUAAUUAAGAACUAUGAAAAUAAGAAAGAAAAAGAGUUUAAGGUGGCAGAAGAAAAGUAUUGAGGGUUACAAUAUUGAAGUUAUCAAUGUGUGCACUUUCAUUUGUUAACUUUUUUGUUUUUACCAUAUAUAUCAUCUCU